rnacentral:rRNA from 1 species
GACGAACGCUGGCGGCGUGCCUAACACAUGCAAGUCGAACGGGAAAGUGGAGCAAUCCAUGAGUAUAGUGGCGACCGGGUGAGUAACACGUGACUAACCUACCUUCAAGUGGGGGAUAACCUCGGGAAACCGGGGCUAAUACCGCAUAAAAUCUCUGUUAUGAGAAAGCAGGGAUCAAAGGAGCAAUUCGCUGGAAGAGGGGGUCGCGGCUGAUUAGCUAGUUGGUGGGGUAAUGGCCCACCAAGGCUUUGAUCGGUAGCCGGCCUGAGAGGGCGCACGGCCACACUGGAACUGAAACACGGUCCAGACUCCUACGGGAGGCAGCAGUGGGGAAUUUUGCGCAAUGGGGGAAACCCUGACGCAGCAACGCCGCGU